rnacentral:lncRNA from 1 species
ACAACAGAUAUGUCAUACAUGACGUUUUUCGUUGGAGGCAGUAUUGCAAGGUUGAACAUAAUGUUAUUAGUAUGAGGGUAAUACAAAUGCAGGGGUGAACUGUAGGAGGAAUGGGAAUAAAUGCUGAAGACGGAAAAUGCAUAAUAAAUGGAUGCAGUGGGGAGUGGCGCAGUGGCGGGGGUUCUUGGCGCUCUGGAGUUGGAGUCUUUUCGGUGGGAUGUUCUUGGGGAUUCGUGUGGCGGCGUGGUGGGUCGGGUGUCCUUUGGUGUGCAGGGGCGUGUCUCCGGGGAGUUGGUGGGGUUGUUGAGUUUUUGUCAUUCAGGA